UCCAUCCUGUUGCUUGGAAAGUGGAUGCAGUGGCUGGCGUGGCAGCCCCAUCUUCCCCGGUGAAGACCGCGAGGCGGAGUCCAGAUUCCUAAAGACUCUGUGAAACAGACCCAUCAUCCUAGCCCUGGGUGGUCUACUUUUGGACUUUGCCGUGAGGCAGAAGUAUCCAGCACAGAGUCGAUGCGCCACCCUCCGAGACCGCCUUCUGACUCUCUGUCGAUCCCCGGCUUGCCCUCCGGAAAAUGUGUCCCCCACCCUUACUGGCGUCAGCAAGAAAAACCUGACCAAAGGGCACGCCUUAGGUUCCAGGUUACACAAAUCCAUGGGAGAAAAAUCAGCAGUGGAGGAGGAAAUACACUAUUUAUUUACAGUUCUUUCACUUUAUCCACAAUUUCCAUACAAACAUAAAAACUAAAAAAAUAAAACCACCACUUGGGAA